UACGUAGGGUGCAAGCGUUAAUCGGAAUUACUGGGCGUAAAGCGUGCGCAGGCGGCUUUGCAAGACAGAUGUGAAAUCCCCGGGCUCAACCUGGGAACUGCAUUUGUGACUGCAUGGCUGGAGUGCGGCAGAGGGGGAUGGAAUUCCGCGUGUAGCAGUGAAAUGCGUUGAUAUGCGGAGGAACACCGAUGGCGAAGGCAAUCCCCUGGGCCUGCACUGACGCUCAUGCACGAAAGCGUGGGGAGCAAACAGG
rnacentral:rRNA from 1 species